AUCCAGCUGACGGGUCCCGAAUAAGUCGAAACGCGUGUCCUGGAU
rfam:Schistosoma curassoni strain Dakar, Senegal genome assembly, scaffold: SCTD_scaffold0002697